rnacentral:tRNA from 1 species
GCCGUGGUCUAUUGGUUAGCGCUUCGGACUUGUAACCGGAGGGUUGCCGGUUCGAACCCCGACCAGUAGGCA